rnacentral:tRNA from 1 species
GCUUUAAUAGCUUAAAUUUAAAGCAUCGGCCUUGUAAGCCGAAGAUUGAAAUUAAAAACUUCUUAAAGCU